UGUAAGGUUUAUAAAUACAGCUACAUUUUUCAAAGUCUCAACACUCUCAUUUUUCAAUAAAUCUUUCAUUUUUUCCUCUCUAUUUUUCACUCUUUUCUUAUAAGAAUUGCACGUUAAUAGUGGUCAAUAUCUCACAACCAAAACUUCAUUAUCCCUCACUCACAUCAACAACCACCAGUCCACCAUAUCUCCUUAAAUGGUUCAUUGUAUAGGCCGACAAUUAUUAUUACUUUUGGGAAUUAUAUCAUAGCAAGACAUCAUUUAUCAUUAACCAAUGUUAAUGAUAAAUGACAUACAAAGCAACUGUGAUUUUCUUGAUUAAAUUGACUUACAUUAUCUAUACGUCAUUGGUCCAGUACAAAAAUCUGCUUCAACAAGCUUCUGACAGUUUUGUUCAACCACUUCCAUUGAUGCUAAAUUGGUAAAGAGCAAAAUUGUAUGUAUUAUGCCUAUUGAGAGUUGAUGCUAUUGGUGUCUUGAUGCAAGAUCGAAGUUAUAGGGAUGUUGAUCGGUUAUAGAGAUGUUGCUGCUCUUUCUUUUUAGCUGGAUGUCACCUUUAAUCAAAUGACUCCUCUAGCAUAAGCAAAUACAAAAAUUCUGAAAUGUAUGACUCCUCUAGCAUAAGCAAAUACAUAAAUUCUGAAAGGCAUAUGAACUGCAAUUUCUAUAAACACUUAUAAUUAUUUAAAAAAAUCUUGACUUCUUUCUAUUAAUAUUUUGUAGAACUCCCAUGACAACUGUAUUAAAGUCGCAUGAAUAAAUUAAAUGCAUCUAUAUCAUUUUAAUAUUGUAACUAACUUUUUUCAUGUUUGUUUGAUGUUGUAGCAUGACUUAAUUGUUCUCGGAGAUGAUAUCAUAAAUAGUAUUAAUUGUUCCACACAAGUUAGUAAUAAAUGGAAAUCAUGGAUACCAAAAAAUCAAAAAGAACAAGAUCAACAAUGUUUCUUCAUCCCGGUUGGAUAUCUCUUCAUAUCCCAAAACAAUUGUUUCUCUCCAUCUAUCUCUAAGUGUUUGUAGUUGUCUCAAUGACACACAAAUCGUCAAGAAAUAAAAAUGUAUCCAACAAGAAACCAAUGUUUCAACAACAUGCAACACAUUUGGUGUUGGGUCAAGCUCUGAUUGUUCAACCAAUGUUGGUGAUCCCUGGAUGAUCAAGAAGGUUCUGACAAAGAGUGAUCUUGAUGAUAAUUGUAGACUUUUGUUAAAUAAGGACAUGACUUAGAAAUGGGUGGUUCCUAUGGUAGAUAAAGUUAGAGUUGAGAAAGAUUGAGUUAAGGUUGAAGUGUUUGAUGUUGACACUAGAAAGAUGGAGUUGGAGUUAAAAACUUCAACAAUACAUGAAUCACAAAUUUUAUAGAUAGAAGAAGCUUAAAAAAAGGAGAUGAAAUUGGUCUCAAUUGGAAAAAAAACAAGGAAAAGUUUGAUUUUCAAUUCUUGAUCGGUCUUGAUGAUAAUUAGUAUUAGUUUAUAAUUCGUUAAUUUUUAUAGAUUGUGAUUAUUUGUAAACAUGGAUGGAAGAUUUGUGUUUUGAUGUUAUUAUUUGUAAUCAAUCGUUGCUUUAAAAAAACGAGAAAAAAAAACUGCAUUGUUUAACA